CUACGGGGCGCAGCAGUGGGGAAUAUUGGACAAUGGGGGCAACCCUGAUCCAGCCAUGCCGCGUGUGUGAAGAAGGCCUUAGGGUUGUAAAGCACUUUCAGAUGUGAGGAAAGGUGUGUGCUUAAUACGUACAUACUGUGACGUUAGCAUCAGAAGAAGGACCGGCUAACUCCGUGCCAGCAGCCGCGGUAAUACGGAGAGUCCGAGCGUUAAUCGGAAUUACUGGGCGUAAAGCGCGCGUAGGUGGUUUCGUCAGUCAGAUGUGAAAGCCCCGGGCUCAACCUGGGAAUUGCACCUGAUACUGCGGAACUAGAGUACGAUAGAGGGGAGUGGAAUUUCCGGUGUAGCGGUGAAAUGCGUAGAGAUCGGAAGGAACACCAGUGGCGAAGGCGACUCCCUGGAUUGAUACUGACACUGAGGUGCGAAAGCGUGUGGAGCAAACAGGAUUAGAUACCCGGUAGUC
rnacentral:rRNA from 1 species